GACGAACGCUGGCGGCGUGCUUAACACAUGCAAGUCGAACGGAGAAGCCCUGCCUUUGUGGGGUGCUCGAGUGGCGAACGGGUGAGUAACACGUGAGUAACCUGCCCUUGACUUUGGGAUAACUUCAGGAAACUGGGUCUAAUACCGGAUAGGAGCUCCUGCUGCAUGGAGGGGGUUGGAAAGUUUCGGCGGUUGGGGAUGGACUCGCGGCUUAUCAGCUUGUUGGUGGGGUAGUGGCUUACCAAGGCUUUGACGGGUAGCCGGCCUGAGAGGGUGACCGGCCACAUUGGGACUGAGACACGGCCCAGACUCCUACUGGAGGCAGCAGUGGGGAAUAUUGCACAAUGGGCGGAAGCCUGAUGCAGCAACGCCGCGUGCGGGAUGACGGCCUUCGGGUUGUAAACCGCUUUCGCCUGUGACGAAGCGUGAGUGACGGUAAUGGGUAAAGAAGCACCGGCUAACUACGUG
rnacentral:rRNA from 1 species